rnacentral:rRNA from 1 species
UACGUAGGGUGCAAGCGUUGUCCGGAAUUAUUGGGCGUAAAGAGCUCGUAGGCGGUUCGUCGCGUCGGCCGUGAAAACCUGCAGCUUAACUGUGGGCUUGCGGUCGAUACGGGCAUCACUGGAGUUCGGCAGGGGAGACUGGAAUUCCUGGUGUAGCGGUGAAAUGCGCAGAUAUCAGGAGGAACACCGGUGGCGAAGGCGGGUCUCUGGGCCAAAACUGACGCUGAGGAGCGAAAGCGUGGGGAGCGAACAGG